GAUGAACGCUGGCGGCGUGCCUAAUACAUGCAAGUCGAGCGAACGGACGAGAAGCUUGCUUCUCUGAUGUUAGCGGCGGACGGGUGAGUAACACGUGGAUAACCUACCUAUAAGACUGGGAUAAUUUCGGGAAACCGGAGCUAAUACCGGAUGAUAUUUUGAACCGCAUGGUUCAAAAGUGAAAGACGGUCUUGCUGUCACUUAUAGAUGGAUCCGCGCUGCAUUAGCUAGUUGGUAAGGUAACGGCUUACCAGGGCAACGAUGCAUAGCCGACCUGAGAGGGGGGUCGGCCACACUGGAACUGAGACGCGGUCCAGGCUCCUGCGGGAGGCAGCAGUAGGGAAUCUUCCGCAAUGGGCGAAAGCCUGACGGAGCAACGCCGCGUGAGUGAUGAAGGUCUUCGGAUCGUAAAACUCUGUUAUUAGGGAAGAACAUAUGUGUAAGUAACUGUGCACAUCUUGACGGUACCUAAUCAGAAAGCCACGGCUAACUACGUG
rnacentral:rRNA from 1 species